CCACGAUCUGGCAGGCGUCACGCUGUGGGCUAUCUCCCCAACGUAACGACUACCCACGGCUUACCUUCCCCGAGGGCUAUCCACGAAAUCGGAUAAGUCGGUUGACCGUUGACGCGGUCAGCUUCGACGCGUGGGCUACCCUCCACGCCGAUGCUGGCCUCCAGUCCACCCAGCCCGAGACUAUCAUCGGACUAGGAAGACCUUACUGCCUUGAAGAGGAACCCCGAUGAGAUCCUUUCGGGGCCGAAGCCCCGGGCCAACUCAAUCGAUCACGCGAUCGAUCGCUAUCUAAGUAGUAUCGGGUCGCGGUGGGUGGUCUCGGUGGGGGGUCCCCACCUCGCGAUGCGCGGGUGACGGUGCGCGGUCGACGGAGCGCGGCUGACGGAACGCGGCUGACGGCUCGUAACGUAAUCGUCACAACUUCUCAGGACGUAUAUUUACGUAUUUCGUAGUGAAAGGGUUAACAGCGUAGAAUGGAGGCCGACCUCGGAAAGCAUAUUAACAAUCGUAGCAAGAUUAAGGUCGCCUUGGCUCGAUUAAACAGAUAUUUUCACGAAUCGGGGCAAAUAGUAUCAUUAAAAGCCUUCGAAAAACGGUUAGAAGCAAACGUAGAGUUAUAUGAUAGCUAUAAUGUAAUUCAAAGUCAAAUCGAGUGUGCAACUUAGGGAACAGAUUCAUGUCAGAAGCAACUUACGCAGUAAAUAGAGACGCGUUUGAGGAAACGUAUUUUAAUAUAAUAGCUGAAAUCGAGUCAUUUAUAGAAAACUCGCGAUCGCAAAGUACAGCAGGAAAUCAGAUUUUAAGACAAGCCGCGUUUCUCACGUUCUCGCAAGCAUCUCUCACUGUGAAAUUGCCGACAAUACAUUUGCCAACGUUUGACGUCAACCUCAAUGAUUGGAUUAGAUUUAGGAAUAUAUUUAAUAGGUUAGUGCAUGAAACCGAAUUAUCAGAUGUGCAAAAGUUCCAUUACUUAAACUCUUCGUUAAAAGGUUCAACCGCGCGAGUUAUUCAAUCAUUAGGAGUUUCCGACUCGAAUUAUCACGUAGUAUUGAAUGCCUUAAAGUCGUAGUAUGAAAAUUCAGCCACCCUCCGAAAACAUCAUGUCACAAAACUCUUAAAUAUUCCAUCAAUCACCCUCCGAAAACAUCAUGUCACAAAACUCUUAAAUAUUCCAUCAAUCACCCUCCGAAAACAUCAUGUCACAAAACUCUUAAAUAUUCCAUCAAUCCGGAGACAGUCGUCAACCGCAGUUCGAGAGUUAGUUUAUGAUGUGCGAAAUCAUCUAGCAGCACUAAAAUCGUUAAAUGAUUCAUGAGAUAAUUUAGUUGUUCUAAUUCUGUCGAGAAAAUUAGACGGUACCUCAUUAAGGGAAUGGGAAAAGGGUCUAAUAACAUAAAAUAGAAUUACAUACAGAAACUUCGCUAUAUUUCUAGAACAGCGGUCAUCAUACUUAGAAAGUAUAUCGUCACAGAAUCAGGUGGCUGUAGCAAAAGUUGAACUUUCAGUAGGACCCGCAGGUAGUCGCAAGCCGUUUCGUGUAACGACCUAACUCACAAGUUCACUGGAUACCUGUCCCGCAUGUAGUACCGCACAUCUCUUAUUCAAGUGCGACAAAUUUUAAGGCUUGUCCAUUAAUGAAAAAAACGCAAAUAGUCUGAAUCUCUCAGAGCUGUUUUAAUUGCUUGCAACGGGACACCGCGUAAAAACUUGUAUACGCAAACAUUGCAAUCUAUGUGGCAAAAAACAUUACAAUCUGCUGCACCGCGUAUUAGCUCCGCGUUUUAUCACAGCUGUCUUCGCAGAAGCAGGACCGUCUCGACCUGAUACAACAUUAUCAUACGUCGCGCACUCACACACCAAUAAAUUAGUACAAAGCGUAUUGUCCACGGCCAUCGUGCAUAUUGAGAAUAGGCAGGGCUAAAUGAUCUAGUGUCGUGUUUUAUUAGAUUCUAGAUCGCAAUUAAAUUUUUUGAUAUACAGACUGUGUAAGAAGUAAGAUAUUAAAUACGAACUCACAGAUAUACAAGUAUCAGGAUUAGCUGGAAAGGCAAGUACCAUUAAAGAUAGGGUCAAUGUGAAGAUAGCAUCUAGAAUAAACAAUUCUAGCGCCAAUAUUUCGUGCCUCGCGAAGAAGAAGUCGAAGAACGAGUUAGAGUAGAAAUAGAUGACUGUGAAGCGAUUUUUAGAGCCACAAUGCGUCAGAAUGAGAACAGCAGCCUGUGGGCUGUCCACGCCUAAGUUUGACAGCGCGAUAUUUCAUGAACGAUUGAUGACACGAGAAAGUGUGUAUAUGGAAAUUGCAGUAUAAAAGGGGCUCUAUGUUUUGGCGUAAACAAAUUUUUUUUAAUGUUAUUAAUGCAAACGAUACAAUGGUGAAGUUUCGUUUCUUAGAUGGAACUAUAUAUUUUUUUCGAUCAGGCGAUAGUGCUUUUCAAAACAAAUUCAUUAAGAAUUAAUGUAUUUAUCCGAUUUUUAUCAGUUUUCGUGAUGUAACGCUUAGAAAUUUACUGAUUUUCAGCAGAGACGUCUCGAUUUGAGUAGUAAGUCAUAAAAAUGGUUUUAUUAUUACGGUAAGUGCCGCACGUUUGACUCUGCCUGCCGAAACCGAUAGCCGGGGGUCUACAAUCCCAACGGCAAGUCCGAAAAGUAUGAAUCGUGGAAAGAAGUAUUCAUCGCCCUCGAUGCGUAAAAUUUAGACCGUAAUGGACAACUCGUUUCGCGUUUCGUACUCUUAUUUUUGCCUGCUUAACAAACGUAUGAAGUUUCAUCAAAAUCGGAAGAGGACAUUUCCGUACCUUUCUUGUGAGUUUUCAUCUCGAUUGAUUGAUGAUAUACUUUUCAACAAUUUAUUUUCUGUUUCAUAUUACUUUUGUAAAUAUAUUUUUUUACCAUGUGCUAUUAACACGUUCGUCGCCCAGCGCGAUUCGGUUAAGUUUCUCGCGGGGUCCGAAUCCGACUGUCGGAGCGCCAAAUCAGCUGAACAUUGUUAGUGUCCCACGUCCUUAUAUCCUACUCGACUUAUCUACUACUACCCUACACUACUACUAAUAACACUCUAGUCAACGCACGCAUCGCAGCUAUAGAUGCCUCGGUGACCAUGACAACGGAUCUUACUACAGUUAUGUAUCUCAGAUUUAGUCGAGAAGCAUACAUUUUUUGAGACGCACGUAUGACUUUUCUGCAAGUCUCCUUCAUAUAGUCAAGAAGCGUACUUUUUUGGGACACACGUCGGUGACCUUUUUAUUUUCAGAAUGUAAAAAAAAAUAUAAACAAAACUACGACCUAUUGUUCCAAUUGUCCAAAAUCACCUCAAAUGUGUUUAAAAUGUUUAAAUGAACACCAUGCGACAUAGUAUAAUUGCUUAUUCCAUUAAAUUCCUUUUAAAAAUCCAACUGAAAGUCCUAUUAACUUGAAUAAGAAGAGCGUCACCCAAAUAUGGGUGACGGGGCCCCCACGGAAGCAUAUCCGUCACCCAAAUCUGGGUGACGCGGCGAUGAGCGUGUUAAUGUAAGAAACUAAUAAUAGCGUGUGUGGUUCCACGGCAUAAUUAUUCAAAUGGCGAGCGACUAUAAUCGACAAUUGGUACAUUGAGGUAAAAUUUUCGAGUAAACCAACGACAUCGAUUAUAUUCUAACAAGAAUUUUUUGAAAUAUUCGGGUGGAGAAAUGCCGUUUAAAAUUUCAAGUGUUGGAGGCAGUGGCUGAAAGACUUUUCAGUCAUUCAAUGGGAAAGUUUUGCUGCAAAUUGAUACCAUUUACGUGGAAUACUCUAGCUUAAAAACGAAUGUGUGCUGUUAUGACUUGUGGGAAGGAUAUGAUCUUUCACUAACCCAGUUUAUAAUGAUAGUGUUACUGUAUGCCGGACAGGGAACUUGGAUUCGCUUGCAGAUACAUACGCGGACGACAGCGAUCUGAAGAUCACAGUAUUAUCGAAGAAACGAUGCACAGAAUUUGAUUUUUGAAGAUAUGAUGUUACGGGUGGCGUUUGCUUAACGACUUACACAAUCUGUGAAAAAAACGACGAAAGCGAGACUCAUGCUUAGCAAACUCUACACUUGAUAAUUAAAUGUUGUGGAGGAUGUGCUUUUUUCAUUCUAAACAGUGAAAAUUUGCGACAAUAUUGAUGAAGUCAUUCAAAAAUGUACAUUAUUAUAUAUACUUAUCGGUAUAUGACACGAUCCUUUUCACUGAUUCUUAACAAAGCGACUUACACAUUUGCAAUGUAUUCAACAUUAGCCGAUAGAUUGAUAUUAUUUCUGGCCUACAUUCUUAUGUAAGCCGUAUGAAACCGUUCCACCUCGUUCAAUUCAAUGUUUUCGAAACUUACGGUCCAACAUUGUUACUCGUGCAUAAUGAGAACGUUUUCCAACAAGAUUGGUAAAUCUCGCAAAAAUGUAACAUAUUUUUGUCCUGUCAUGGUCUCAAUAAUGAAAUAUAGUCCGAUUACAUUUUCGUUUAAACUCCCACAUCAUACAUUUACGCUCCAUUGUAUCUGGACGAAUAAUGACCAUUCCGAAGAUUAAUUGAUCCGUGAAUACUGAAUGUUGUUUUAUCCGUAGACAAGGCAUUCGAAAAAAAUGAACAAUUCUGUUACAAUCUCCACUAACAAAGAUUAAUUCUAUUCUGAAAAUCACUUUUGUGUAAUUCUUGAUGUAGAAUUAUGUAAAACGGAUGUAAUUUACGUUGAGUCAGAACUCGUAUUACGCUACAUUGAUUUAUAUCUGCAUGUUAGGUGGAGAGAGAGAAAUUUCUCUUGCACUAACAUGUGGAUUGACAACCACACCUGCUAAAAUAUUAAUUUUAUUGUCUUCAUUAGUCACGGGAUUCUUUCAUUUACGCUUUUGUAACAUCCCUGAAGAAUUUUCAAACUUUUAUCCCAGCCAUGUCAUUUCUUCAAUUAUCGACUGUAUUUCUCUCUUACCGACCGCGACAUUAGACAAAUCAGGUAUCAUAAGAAUUCAGUAAACUGUCGGUAAUAAAUGUAUAGUUCUAUAUGGAAAAUUCCGUAAUGCUAUGUGCCUACGUGCCGCGAUGCUCGCCCCGAAUUUCCUAGUAUUCUCGCGUUAUCUUAUUGUUAGAGAAGGAUAGGAAUACAUAUUACAAUUAGACAUUAAUAGUUAUUAAAACUUAUUAGUUAAACAAAUCAAUCAAUACAUAUCAAGCGUACUAAUGUUGUGUUAUCCGGAACUAAAGUCAGAUAUUAGUUUAUUGCAGUGUAUAUUGUAAAUUAUAAUAUUAUUUAAUGGAAUGUUCUAGAAACACGUGUGCUUAUACAUUUAGAUUCGACCCGUAUAGUGAAGAUAGGAAAUGUAAUUUUCAUUAAAACACUACUAAAUUACUAUUUUUAUAUCAGGAAUAUAAACUACCGAGUAGAAUACAAUAUUAAUAAUGUAAUUAAACCGUUCAUUUUCAUAAUUAAUGUCUAAUUACGAGUUUAUACGACAAUUAUAUAUUUCGACGUUAUGGGAGUUUUCCAAGAAAUCGACAGGCUUGUGAGUAUAAAAGGCCGAGCGAAACCCGCUUAAAUCGCAGAACAGUUUUCGAAAUCGAGCGAGCUAGAAGUCUUCAAAUAAGUAUAACCGGAACAGUUUUCGCUGUCAAGAGCCAACAUGAUUCUUAAUACUUCAUUAGUAAAACGGGUAUACGCCAUUUGGAUACCUGAUCGCUGGGUCGUUCUAGUGUUCAGCGAACAGCAGGCUCCCCAUUCAAACGGUCUUGUAUCUGAAACUCCGUCAGAAGAGUGCUCUACCAAUGAUGUUUUCGCCAAGAAAGGCCAAGACAUCAAACCGAGAAUUCUCAGCUACUCAUAUUUGAUUUUUCAUCGGAUUGCUAACGCGCUGUCAGAUUCUCGGAGUUCGCUCUGGGUAGUUUCAUAGCUAGCGAAU